UCCCCCUACAUUUCUCUAAUAAAGCUCUUAAACCAUAGAGAGUCUCUUCUCCAUCAAGAUCAGCUGCACACUCUGAAAUGAAGACAACACAUACAAGAGAUCAUUCAAGAAACUGGUUCUUCAUGAAAGAAUUAAUAUAAGAUUCCAUCGUGGCCAGAGAAGCAUGCCAGCAAUUGGAAGACAUGGUGGCAGGAGCAGGAACCUGAGAGAUCUAAGCCACAAUCACAAGGCAGGGAGGGUAACUGAACCCUCUGAAAACAGUACACCAACUGGUUUAAAUAGCCAAGACUAUGAAAUCUGUUCUUUUCUAGUGAGAAUCUGAAAACGAGUCAUUUGUAAUAAGAGAGAAGGUGAGGAGGACCUGGGAGGAAGAGGGAUGAAACUGUAAUCAAGGUUUGAAAAAUGGCUCACAGACAUCAUCUCAUUUAAUUGCAGUAUCCUUGAAGAAUGAACCUUCAUAUCAGGACUGAAUGUGUCCUUGUUUGGGAAGACAUUACACAGGUGUUUGUGGAGAUAUCAUAGGAA